rnacentral:rRNA from 1 species
UACGAGGGGGGCGAGCGUUGUUCGGAAUUAUUGGGCGUAAAGGGUGCGUAGGCGGUUUGGUAAGUCUUAUGUGAAAUCUAUGGGCUCAACUCAUAGUCUGCAUGAGAAACUGCCGGGCUUGAGUAUGGGAGAGGUGAGUGGAAUUCCGGGUGGAGCGGUGAAAUGCGUAGAGAUCCGGAGGAACACCGACGGCGUAGGCAGCGCCCUAGACGAGACCUGACGCUCAGGCACGAAAGCGCGGGGAGCGAACAGG